rnacentral:tRNA from 1 species
GGGCCUAUAGCUCAAUUGGCAGAGCUUCCGGCUCAUAACCGGCUGGUUCUAGGUUCAAGUCCUAGUGGGCCCACCA